ACGCCAGACUCCUACGGGAGGCAGCAGUGGGGGAUAUUGGACAAUGGGGGGAACCCUGAUCCAGCGACGCCGCGUGAGUGAAGAAGUAUCUCGGUAUGUAAAGUUCUAUCAGCAGGGAAGAAGAAAUGACGGUACCUGAGUAAGAAGCCCCGGCUAACUACGUGCCAGCAGCCGCGGUAAUACGUAGGGGGCAAGCGUUAUCCGGAAUUACUGGGUGUAAAGGGAGCGUAGACGGUGAUGUAAGUCUGGAGUGAAAGGCGGGGGCCCAACCCCCGGACUGCUCUGGAAACUAUGUGACUGGAGUGCAGGAGAGGUGAGCGGAAUUCCUAGUGUAGCGGUGAAAUGCGUAGAUAUCAGGAGGAACAUCGGUGGCGUAAGCGCUUUACUGGGCCGUAAUUGACGCUGAGGAACGAAAGCCAGGGUAGCAAAUGGGAUUAGAUACCCCCGUACA
rnacentral:rRNA from 1 species